GCUCUCUCAGGAUUGCUCCUGGAGAAUUUCCAGUACUCUUCCAGUCUCAGCUAUGGGAAGGAGAGCCAAGCAGAGGAACACCCAUUCCAUUCUUAGCUUGAGCAGUGGCUAGCGAGUGGAAGGCAAUCAGCUAUAAGU